UUCCUUUUAUGGCUCAUAUGCAUGAUGAUCAGGUAUUCACAUGUUUGUGUGACAUGUGCCUCCAUUAAAUAUUAUUACAAUGUCAGCACAUUACUAUUCUGAUG